UACAGAGGUCCCGAGCGUUGUUCGGAUUCAUUGGGCGUAAAGGGUGCGUAGGUGGCGCCGUAAGUCAGGUGUGAAAUUUCGGAGCUUAACUCCGAAACUGCAUUUGAUACUGCGGUGCUUGAGGACUGGAGAGGAGACUGGAAUUUACGGUGUAGCGGUGAAAUGCGUAGAUAUCGUAAGGAAGACCAGUGGCGAAGGCGGGUCUCUGGACAGUUCCUGACGCUGAGGCACGAAGGCCAGGGGAGCAAACGGG
rnacentral:rRNA from 1 species